rnacentral:rRNA from 1 species
UACGGAGGGUGCAAGCGUUAAUCGGAAUUACUGGGCGUAAAGCGUGCGCAGGCGGUUCGUUGUGUCGGCGGUGAAAGCCCCGGGCUCAACCUGGGAAUGGCCGUUGAAACUGGCGAACUGGAGUGUGGCAGAGGGGGGUGGAAUUCCGCGUGUAGCAGUGAAAUGCGUAGAGAUCGGGAGGAACAUCAGUGGCGAAGGCGGCCAUCUGGGACAACACUGACGCUGAAGCACGAAAGCGUGGGGAGCAAACAGG